UACGAAGGGGGCUAGCGUUGUUCGGAAUUACUGGGCGUAAAGCGCACGUAGGCGGGUCAUUAAGUCAGGGGUGAAAUCCCAAGGCUCAACCUUGGAACUGCCUCUGAUACUGAUGAUCUUGAGUCCGAGAGAGGUGAGUGGAACUCCGAGUGUAGAGGUGAAAUUCGUAGAUAUUCGGAAGAACACCAGUGGCGAAGGCGGCUCACUGGCUCGGUACUGACGCUGAGGUGCGAAAGCGUGGGGAGCAAACAGG
rnacentral:misc_RNA from 1 species